AUGGAGUGUUCUCUGUGCAGUAGCCCAUUGUGCUUCCCUCUCCCCUUUGCCGUAGUUCUCUUUGGUGGUGAAAGCAGUCUGCACAACAAGGAUCAGAGGGUCAUCAUUUGCUCCAGGAUGUACGUGUACCUAAAAAUAAAGGUGCUGACACAGAGAUAUGGUUCGACUUGGUACCUUGUUCUGCAGGAGGUUGUCCCAGGCCCUUCCACUCAGCACAAAUCGGAUGAAGAACUUGAAAAUGUCAAGUGGGAAGUAGAACACAAUGCUGAAGAGCCAGAUAACACCAGCCCAGCCCCACCCGAUUCCCUUGAUCCUUGCAAACUCCCAGUUGGCAUAGACAGCGAUGAGUGUUGCAACCUGCAUCAAGAAGGUUCAGCUAAGGAUUCGAUUGUCCUGAAUUUCUUUCUUUGCAGAUAA
rnacentral:rRNA from 1 species